GACGAACGCUGGCGGCGUGCUUAACACAUGCAAGUCGAACGGUGAACCCGGAGCUUGCUCCGGUGGAUUAGUGGCGAACGGGUGAGUAACACGUGAGUAACCUGCCCUUGACUCUGGGAUAACUGCGGGAAACUGUAGCUAAUACCGGAUACGACCCUCGGCGGCAUCGCCAGGGGGUGGAAAGAAUUUCGGUCAAGGAUGGACUCGCGGCCUAUCAGCUAGUUGGUGAGGUAACGGCUCACCAAGGCGACGACGGGUAGCCGGCCUGAGAGGGUGACCGGCCACACUGGGACUGAGACACGGCCCAGACUCCUACGGGAGGCAGCGGUGGGGAAUAUUGCACAAUGGGCGCAAGCCUGAUGCAGCAACGCCGCGUGAGGGAUGACGGCCUUCGGGUUGUAAACCUCUUUUAGUAGGGAAGAAGCGAAAGUGACGGUACCUGCAGAAAAAGCACCGGCUAACUACGUGCCAGCAGCCGCGGUAC
rnacentral:rRNA from 1 species